UACGGGGGGAGCAAGCGUUGUUCGGAUUUACUGGGCGUAAAGGGCGCGUAGGCGGUCAGCACAAGUCAGUUGUGAAAUCUCCGGGCUUAACUCAGAAAGGUCAACUGAUACUGUGCGACUAGAGUGCAGAAGGGGCAACUGGAAUUCUCGGUGUAGCGGUGAAAUGCGUAGAUAUCGAGAGGAACACCUGCGGCGAAGGCGGGUUGCUGGGCUGACACUGACGCUGAUGCGCGAAAGCCAGGGGAGCGAACGGG
rnacentral:rRNA from 1 species